UUUUUUUGUAAAGUUUGUGCAUGGAUCUCACAUCACACCAGCAAAGGCCUCUUAGAAUGCCAACCUCAGCUGUGCCCUUACCAUACCUGAGCUGAGAAGUCAUGACUUUUUUUAUGAGUUUUUUUUCCCCUCUGUGCUUCAUAGUUUGAUGUGUAUUCAUUUCAUGUUUUCAGCUCUUCUUUCUGAGAGCUUAAAAACUUACUAGGAAAGAAACAAGGAACAUGAGAGAUACUUAUGCAAGCUGCAGUUGUGAUUAGAGCACUAGAUUAAUGAUAUAAUGAUGAUAUAGUGAGGUGGCAGUUCCACAGAAGUAUGUCGACAUCCAUUCACCAGACCUAGUUAGGGAAGUAGAAGAAUGUGUGGGGAUGGCUCCAGCAAGAAUGUUGCUCAUCAUGAUGUCACUGGAGAAGCUGCCUCUGUAGGUCAACAGUUUGUGCUAUGAAGAGAGAGCUUGAGACUUGAAGAUGUCUGCCCAGAUUUGAAGACCACCAUGGUAUCUCUGUGCUCAUCUCCUGUAUAAUGCAGCCCAUGCUGGAAAUACCUUCAGUUUGAAGAGUAGUAGCUCAUCUCCCAAGCCUACCUCAUUGUCUUCCUCUCCCUGAAGACAGUGCCCUCUACAGCCUCUCUUCCUUGGUGGUGUUUUCCUUGUAAUCCAGGAAGAGCCUUUAUCCUCCUUCCCAGGCCCUGCUCCCCAUUGGUGCAGCUGCCAGGCUGGAGAAAGGCUGGGGUGCAGGGCUGAGUCCUACUGUGCUGUGGUAAGGAGGAACAAAACCGGGAUACAAGCAAUAAGCAGAGAUUUCAGUGGCACUGCUGCUGGCAGCACGUGACAACCCCAUGCACAUGACAGCCCUUCUCUUGGCAGUAGGAGUUCUGUAGGCAUGUGGUGGUUAUUCAGGCUGUGGUCCACCAUUGAUGUAAAAACUGACUCCUAAGAGUGUAAUCGACCCAGUUAUGAGGCUCCCUUCGGGUACUGGAAGGCCACAGCGAUGCAGGUUUGUAAUUGGCCUUUCCUGCUCCGAGAUGGCCCCAGCUGCUGUGCCAUGUUCCUGGCUCCCAGCUCUGAGGCGCUGACUACAGGUCUCCCAUUGCCCUGGAAGUUUGUAGUUACAAGAUAUUUCAGAGGCUCAAGACAUGUCUGUAAG
rnacentral:lncRNA from 1 species